CUGUUUUGGUCUAGCUGUUGAAUGAAAACUGCAUGAAGAAGAGGAAAGGUGGUCCAGAUGAUCAGCAGGAUUCUAAUGAAGACCCACAGAAGGACCUGAAGAGUAGGGGGCUUUGCUUGGUUCCUGUAUCGUGUACACUUCAAGUCGGGAGGGACAACGGAGCAGAUUACUGGGCUCCUCCUCCUUUUGGUGGCGGUUUCCGAUAGACAUCAGCUUAUUAGGGUUCUCGGAAAAUGGUAGCAUUGUACACACACAUGGGAGCUUCAUGUGGGAAACGAUAUAACAUCAUGAGCAGUCAAUCUGCUAAAGAAAGUUUCAAAGGCUGAUUGCUCAUGAUGCUAUACACAACAUGUUGUUAAUUUUCAUUUUGGACUAUUUUUAGAUGAUGACGUGUGCUAAUUGCUAACCGCUUUCUUCUAUGAUUUAAGCUUAUUCCUA